ensembl:snRNA U2 U2 spliceosomal RNA
AUAGCUUCUCGGCCUGUUGGCUAAGAUCAAGUUGGGUAUCUGUUCUCAUCAGUUUAAUAAUACAUGUCAAGUAGUAAUUACAUGUCCUUGAUAGUUGUUCUCCCUAGGCACAUCUU